ACAGAGGGGGCAAGCGUUGUUCGGAAUUACUGGGCGUAAAGGGCGCGUAGGCGGCCUGUUAAGUCGAACGUGAAAUCCCCGGGCUCAACCCGGGAACUGCGUCCGAUACUGGUGGGCUUGAAUCCGGGAGAGGGAUGCGGAAUUCCAGGUGUAGCGGUGAAAUGCGUAGAUAUCUGGAGGAACACCGGUGGCGAAGGCGGCUUCUUGGGCCUUAACUGACGCUGAGGCGCGAAAGCUGGGGGAGCGAACGGGA
rnacentral:rRNA from 1 species